GUGGACAGCGAAGGGGAGUAGCCCCCAAUCGGAUAUUCGACAUACUGGCCGUACAGCGUUGCGAUAACGGCCCGGUUAUCCGAACCGGUCACGGCCGGUGGGCGAGACCUUCGGCCGUAGA
rnacentral:misc_RNA from 1 species